rnacentral:rRNA from 1 species
CCUACGGGAGGCAGCAGUGGGGAAUAUUGCGCAAUGGGCGAAAGCCUGACGCAGUGACGCCGCGUGAGGGAUGAAGGUCUUCGGAUCGUAAACCUCUGUCAGCAGGGAAGAACGGUCACUGUGCUAAUCAGCAGUGAAUUGACGGUACCUGCAAAGGAAGCACCGGCUGACUCCGUGCCAGCAGCCGCGGUAAUACGGAGGGUGCGAGCGUUAAUCGGAAUUACUGGGCGUAAAGCGCUCGUAGGCGGUAUGUCAAGUCAAGGGGGAACUCCGCGGGCUCAACGUGGGAACUGCCUUUGAAACUGGCAAACUGGAGUGUGUGAGAGGAGAGGGGAAGUCGAGGUGUAGGAGUGACAUCCGUAGAUAUCUGGAGGAACAUCAGUGGCGAAGGCGACUAUCUGGCACAUAACUGACGCUGAGGAGCGAAAGCGUGGGUAGCAAACAGGAUUAGAUACCCCUGUAGUC